UGGGGAAUAUUGGACAAUGGGCGCAAGCCUGAUCCAGCCAUGCCGCGUGAGUGAUGAAGGCCCUAGGGUUGUAAAGCUCUUUCACCGGUGAAGAUAAUGACGGUAACCGGAGAAGAAGCCCCGGCUAACUUCGUGCCAGCAGCCGCGGUAAUACGAAGGGGGCUAGCGUUGUUCGGAUUUACUGGGCGUAAAGCGCACGUAGGCGGACUUUUAAGUCAGGGGUGAAAUCCCGGGGCUCAACCCCGGAACUGCCUUUGAUACUGGAAGUCUUGAGUAUGGUAGAGGUGAGUGGAAUUCCGAGUGUAGAAGUGAAAUUCGUAGAUAUUCGGAGGAACACCAGUGGCGAAGGCGGCUCACUGGACCAUUACUGACGCUGAGGUGCGAAAGCGUGGGGAGCAAACAGG
rnacentral:rRNA from 1 species